CUUUCUCUCUUCACCACAUACUCUCUUUAUGUGGGCAUGCAAACGCGGAUGCAGCGGCUCAGUCACUUUUUGGAUCCAACUUCGAUUCUGCUCAGUACAUCCACUCUCUGCGAUGCCUUUCACUUCACUUCACUCCUCUCUCUCUACCGAUCACCUCUCGAUCAUUGUUCCGUAAUAAAGAAGUUAACAUUUUUCCCGUCUCGUUCUCAUUUUCGGCAGGUAGCGAUGCUCUUUGGAUCUCUUCUUUGCUGCUGCUGCAUCGCUCUUGCUGCAGAGCAUACCUUUACUUUACCUAUAUCUCUUUCUCUUUCUCUGUCUGUUGCUUCUUCAUCUCUGAUGGUGCCAUAACCUCUGCUCGUGUGGGCUUAAUAGAGAAAAUGUAUCGUCACCGCUCUCUGCUCUGUUCGGUCUCUUUUGUCCCUGCUCACUCCACCAGUCUCUUUGUUAGGUUGAACUUUGUGCGGCGUCUAUUUAUGAAUGAAAUCUGUUUAAGCCUGAACGGCUAGCGGCUGGCCCUCCUCUGCCCCACCUCCGAAACUCAGGGCUGCUGUCGAUGAAUGAACGUGCAACACGGCGGCGGCAACACGGCGAUGGCACAAUACAGUUUUUGUCGCUGCAGCGAACGCUGGAAAAUUGAUGUGCGCCAUGGCAGAUGCCAAAUUAAUGGAGCCGGCCACUCCCACUCCCUCCUUCCGCGCUUUGCUUGAGUGAGCAAAUUGAGCCGCCAAUUGAGCAGCAAAAAGAGACCGAGAAGCAGGAAGAUCCGAUACAUUAACCCGUGCGAAGAAAUAUAAGCAGA